rnacentral:rRNA from 1 species
UACAGAGGGUGCGAGCGUUGUUCGGAAUUAUUGGGCGUAAAGGGCGCGUAGGCGGCGCGGUAUGUCACCUGUGAAAUCUCCUGGCUCAACUGGGAGCUUGCAGGCGAAACUGCCGUGCUGGAGUGUGGGAGAGGUGCGUGGAAUUCCCGGUGUAGCGGUGAAAUGCGUAGAUAUUCGCAAGAACGACCAGUGGCGGAAGGCGGA